GCUACAGGCUUAACACAUGCAAGUCGAGGGGCAGCAUGGUUUUAGCUUGCUAAGGCCGAUGGCGACCGGCGCACGGGUGAGUAACACGUAUCCAACCUGCCGUCUACUCUUGGACAGCCUUCUGAAAGGAAGAUUAAUACAAGAUGGCAUCAUGAGUCCGCAUGUUCACAUGAUUAAAGGUAUUCCGGUAGACGAUGGGGAUGCGUUCCAUUAGAUAGUAGGCGGGGUAACGGCCCACCUAGUCUUCGAUGGAUAGGGGUUCUGAGAGGAAGGUCCCCCACAUUGGAACUGAGACACGGUCCAAACUCCUACGGGAGGCAGCAGUGAGGAAUAUUGGUCAAUGGGCGAGAGCCUGAACCAGCCAAGUAGCGUGAAGGAUGACUGCCCUAUGGGUUGUAAACUUCUUUUAUAAAGGAAUAAAGUCGGGUAUGGAUACCCGUUUGCAUGUACUUUAUGAAUAAGGAUCGGCUAACUCCGUGCCAGCAGCCGCGGUAAUACGGAGGAUCCGAGCGUUAUCCGGAUUUAUUGGGUUUAAAGGGAGCGUAGAUGGAUGUUUAAGUCAGUUGUGAAAGUUUGCGGCUCAACCGUAAAAUUGCAGUUGAUACUGGAUAUCUUGAGUGCAGUUGAGGCAGGCGGAAUUCGUGGUGUAGCGGUGAAAUGCUUAGAUAUCACGAAGAACUCCGAUUGCGAAGGCAGCCUGCUAAGCUGCAACUGACAUUGAGGCUCGAAAGUGUGGGUAUCAAACAGGAUUAGAUACCCUGGUAGUCCACACGGUAAACGAUGAAUACUCGCUGUUUGCGAUAUACGGCAAGCGGCCAAGCGAAAGCGUUAAGUAUUCCACCUGGGGAGUACGCCGGCAACGGUGAAACUCAAAGGAAUUGACGGGGGCCCGCACAAGCGGAGGAACAUGUGGUUUAAUUCGAUGAUACGCGAGGAACCUUACCCGGGCUUAAAUUGCAGAUGAAUUACGGUGAAAGCCGUAAGCCGCAAGGCAUCUGUGAAGGUGCUGCAUGGUUGUCGUCAGCUCGUGCCGUGAGGUGUCGGCUUAAGUGCCAUAACGAGCGCAACCCUUGUUGUCAGUUACUAACAGGUUCUGCUGAGGACUCUGACAAGACUGCCAUCGUAAGAUGUGAGGAAGGUGGGGAUGACGUCAAAUCAGCACGGCCCUUACGUCCGGGGCUACACACGUGUUACAAUGGGGGGUACAGAGGGCCGCUACCACGCGAGUGGAUGCCAAUCCCAAAAACCUCUCUCAGUUCGGACUGGAGUCUGCAACCCGACUCCACGAAGCUGGAUUCGCUAGUAAUCGCGCAUCAGCCACGGCGCGGUGAAUACGUUCCCGGGCCUUGUACACACCGCCCGUCAAGCCAUGGGAGCCGGGGGUACCUGAAGUGCGUAACCGCGAGGAGCGCCCUAGGGUAAAACUGGUGACUG
rnacentral:rRNA from 1 species